GGGCCUAUAGCUCAAUUGGUUAGAGCCGACCGCUCAUAACGGUCUGGUUCCAGGUUCGAGUCCUGGUGGGCCCACCA
rnacentral:tRNA from 1 species